rnacentral:rRNA from 1 species
CCUACGGGAGGCAGCAGUGGGGAAUAUUGCGCAAUGGGGGCAACCCUGACGCAGCCAUGCCGCGUGAAUGAAGAAGGCCUUCGGGUUGUAAAGUUCUUUCGGUAGCGAGGAAGGCAUUUAGUUUAAUAGACUAGGUGAUUGACGUUAACUACAGAAGAAGCACCGGCUAACUCCGUGCCAGCAGCCGCGGUAAUACGGAGGGUGCGAGCGUUAAUCGGAAUAACUGGGCGUAAAGGGCACGCAGGCGGUGACUUAAGUGAGGUGUGAAAGCCCCGGGCUUAACCUGGGAAUUGCAUUUCAUACUGGGUCGCUAGAGUACUUUAGGGAGGGGUAGAAUUCCACGUGUAGCGGUGAAAUGCGUAGAGAUGUGGAGGAAUACCGAAGGCGAAGGCAGCCCCUUGGGAAUGUACUGACGCUCAUGUGCGAAAGCGUGGGGAGCAAACAGGAUUAGAUACCCCAGUAGUC